UACGAAGGGAGCUAGCGUUGUUCGGAAUCACUGGGCGUAAAGCGCACGUAGGCCGAUUCGUAAGUCAGGGGUGAAAUCCCGGGGCUCAACCUCGGAACUGCCUCUGAUACUGCGAAUCUCGAGUCCGGAAGAGGUGGGUGGAAUUCCUAGUGUAGAGGUGAAAUUCGUAGAUAUUAGGAAGAACACCAGUGGCGAAGGCGGCUCACUGGCCCGGUACUGACGCUGAGGUGCGAAAGCGUGGGGAGCAAACAGG
rnacentral:rRNA from 1 species